rnacentral:rRNA from 1 species
UUGACCUGGAUCAGGUAGGAUUACCCGUUGACCUUAAGCAUAUCAAUAAGCGAAGGAAAAGCAACCAUCAGGGAUUGCCCCAGUAACGGCGAGUGAAGCGGCAACAGCUCAAAUUUGGAAUCUGGCCUUCGGGCCCGAGUUGUAAUCUGCAGAGGAUGCUUCUGGCGCGGUGCCUUCCGAGUUCCCUGGAACGGGACGCCGGAGAGGGUGAGAGCCCCGUACGGUUGGACUCCUAGCCUGUGUGAAGCUCCUUCGACGAGUCGAGUAGUUUGGGAAUGCUGCUCUAAAUGGGAGGUAAAUUUCUUCUAAAGCUAAAUAUUGGCCAGAGACCGAUAGCGCACAAGUAGAGUGAUCGAAAGAUGAAAAGCACUUUGAAAAGAGAGUUAAAAAGUACGUGAAAUUGUUGAAAGGGAAG